UUACAUUGUAAAACUUACCAUAUUUUUCGCCCUAUAAGACGCACCUAGGUUUUUUGGAGGAAAAUAAGAAAAAAAAUAUUUUCAACCAAAAGGUGCGCUUUUGGUGAGUUUUGAACUAAUGGUGGUCUGUGGAUGACACUGUUAUGGGGGAUGUGUGGAUGACACUGUUAUAUUGGGGUUCUGUGGGUGACACACUGUUAUGGGGGAUCUGUGGAUGACACACUGUUAUGGGGGAU